UGAGAAGUCACCUUGGGACGGGGUGGGGGGACUGACGAGGACGCUGUCUCCCUCCCACGCCUCUUCCCCCUCUGCUGUGCUUACACCGACUUGUGCUCGAGAGAACCUGUGCUUACGUCUCCAGCGACUGCAGCCAGAGACGGAUGGUCUUCAGACACAUGGGACAUAAAUGGACAUUUCCUUGAUCAAAAGUCUGCAUUUGGCAAUGCCCAAGAGGCUUCCCAGUCAACUGGGUAACUCUAAGAAGAUGUCAGUCCAGCGUUGGAGGCUGGGGAGGGCCUAACGUAACACGGGAGCAGAACGUGCUGUCUAAAUCCCAAUGUCUGAAGUCUUUGUGGGCCUGAUCGUAUGGUGCGCUGUUUCGGCCGCUCUCGCUCGUGGUGAUGUGUUCCCCUUACGCGCCGAGGUUUUGACUAUGAGCCUCCACAGUGGGGAAUCCUGCGAUAAUUCUACACGGCCUGGGAGAGCCUCAGAGCAGCCUCAGCAUCACCUGGGAACUCGUCAGAGAUGCAGAAUUUCAGGCUCCACCGAGAGCCACAGAAUCUGAAUCAGCAUGUUUACAAGACCCCACGUGACUUCACCACUUAGAUGAAGGUUUCUGUCACUUGUAACUGAAAAAUUCCUGGCUCAUAUGCCCAGCUGGUGAGUGAUAUCGUGAGCCAGAUCCUGGACCUCCUCAUCCAUCAUCCAUCCAUCGAUCAUCCAUCCAUCUAUCCAAACUUCCAUCCAUCCAUCUAUCCACCCACCCAUCCAUCCAUCUAUCCAUCCAUCCAUCUACCCAUUCAUCCAUCCAUCCAUCCAAUAUACAUACAUUUAAUGAAUAAAGCAGUUGCUCAAUACAUAGUUUUGAAUGAAUUGAUGAAUAGCUAAUUUGUCAUGAUGUAUUUGAUGACAAAGAUACAUCCACCUCCCUUUAAUCCUGGUGGAGAUUGGUCAACAAAGGGCAAACCAAGUUCCGAACUCAUAACUUGGAACUCAGUCAAGGACUCAGCCUCCAAGGCAAUACUGAGUUUCAUCAGUAUCAUCAGCACACAGCCAGACGUGACCCUUGCUUUGCUAAACGUGAUUCAGUCAUGCUGGUGCCACAGCCCAAAAAGGAGGGUCCAGAACGUCAUUGACAAGUAUGUGGGUUUUCCUGUUGAAGCCAAUGCCAAUACUGUGAGCUCUGCCGUGAAAUAAGUGUGAGUUGUCAAGGAAGACUUAUUUGCUCUACCCUCGUUUUCGCUCCUUGUACCACAGUGGCCGUGUUAAAUGCAGAGCUGCCUGAGAACCAUGGAGACAAGUGCCACCUCUUUCAGGAUGACUUUGUAACCACCCACGAGUCAGAGCACAUACGAGUAAACCAGUCAUCUCUCUCAAACUCUUGCUUUUCCAAUGAAAACUGCAACUCACAGAGCAGAAAGGAUGUGCCCAACGAUACAUAGAGAAUUACAAGGAGAGACGAGAUCCAGAUUCUGGACUCCUAAUCUGGUGCUUUUCCUACUAUGCCACUCUCCCUCCUUGAGCCACUUUCCAAAACAGGUGGAGUUUGUUUCAAAGGACUCCUUUCCUCUUUGAUCAGUUACUGGUAUUGGUAGGUCGGGGAAUACUGCAGGCACCAGACUGCGUUUCAAAGACAUUCUUCACAUUGUCUGCCAUCAUCUGCUUGUGGGCCACGUGGCACAAUAAGGAUGCAUGGACAGAGUAGUCACAGAAUUGGUGGGAGGUGACCUUAAAAGUUACCUUGCCCCUCCUGAUGUUUAGAUUCCCUCUACAGCACCUGGUGAUACACUUGUCAGACUUGCAGGUGGCAGAGAAUGGGGUAAAAAGAGCUGACCUCUCGGUGCCCUCUCUCUCCUGACUCCUCCAGGACAUAAAUCCAUCUAUUGCCUCUUCUCUCACUUUCCAACAUCUUCAGGCUCUUCCUUCACUCUUUCCUCUGGGUCAGCAAAUAUUUUGGGUCUCCUUCUCUUAAAGCAAAUAAACCCGUAAAAAACCAAUGAUUCUUUUUUCCAUUUUGCUGCGUGCCUAGCAACCUUCUUACCUUUUUCUUUUCCCUCACCUAAUUUCUUGACUCAUUGAAGCCUGCUGUCCACACUUCUUCAUGAUCCAGCCAUUCCUGAACUUUUGGGAGCCUGUCUUCUCUCAGAAGUCACCAAAGACCUCCUAAUUAUGAAAUCGGGUGUCUUUUUUUCAGCCUUAAAUUUUCUUGUUUCCUUUGUAUUAUUUGAGAUGUUGGUCACCUGGUACUCGAUCUCUCUUGAUAGGAGGGGUGUUGCCCUGAUUCUCUUUCUUCCCCUUGGGCCUCACUUCUGAUUGUAUCUCUGUUUUCACUUCCUUGUCUCACUUGUUUUAAGUAUCUCCCCUGGAGACCUUGUCCAUCCAUUGAUGGCUCUGCCCAUUCAACACCUAAUAGGGUGCAAGGUAUUGUGCCAGGAACUGGAGAUUCAGAAGUAACUCACAAGCGUUCUUGACCUCAGUGAGCUUAUUUUCUAUUGACAGAGCUAGAUAAGUUCAUCUCAACAUCGUGUGAUGACGAAUAAUGGAGCAAAUACUUCACAGAUUCAAGGAAAUGAACUGAGAGCAGAAAAGGACCUUGAAGAUCACCUUGUCCAAUUCUCACAUUUUACAGAAGAGGAAACUGAGGCAUAGCGAGAGGAAGCCGGUUGCCCAUAGUCCUACAGAGAGUUGGUAGCAUAGCUAAGAGUGGACCUGAUGUCUCUUCAAAUUCAUGCUUGUCAGAGAAUGGCCAAAGAUGACUUUUCUAGCAAAGUAGGAAGUUAUUGGGAUGCAAAAGAGUAUUUGGAGUCUGCUCAGAGAUACAAAUGCAAAUUUCGCUGAGUUCUUUCUGCAACCAAAGACACAUCUUUGGAACUUGUAUUUCCUUCAAAUACUCCUGCAAAAAGUCAUAUCGUAGAGAUCCUAGAAUUGGAGCUUCUUUAUGGAAAAGAAGAAAAACAAUACUUACUGAACACUUAAUAUGAGUUAUAAAACUGAGGCCCAGAAGUUAAGUGACUCAUGUCAAUCUUGAAACAAAACCAGGAUUGGAACUCAGAUUUCCUGUCCCUAGUCUAUUGUUCUCUUCAUGAGGUCAAGAGCCAUAAACUGCCUGAGCUGGAAUUCUGGGCUAUCACCUGCCCAGGGCAGAGAGGCAAAUGCUUGGCUGUGAGCGUUCUGAGUGUGGGAGCCCCUGAAAAUCCACUGUGUGCAUUUGCAUAAGAAGCUACCCUCAUCUUUAUCCCUGGACAGAGCCAGUGACAUGGGCAUGCAAUUGCUGAAGCUGCAUAGAACUCUGUGCAGAGAAGGGCCCUAUCCUUGGUGCUUGGUUUGAUGCUGCCAUCUUGAAAUUUUUAAUACUCUAUGAACAAGGGGCCCACACAUUAUAUAGUCAGUUCUGCUCCAGAUGACAGCUUUUGUUGUUGCUACUCAAAGCACUUCCCAGGUCACUCCUUUGAAUAGUUCACUGCUCUCCCUGACCUUAUGCCCCUAGGAAGGGCUAUUGGAAAGUCUCCUGAAGAUGAGCCAGAACUAGACCACCGGGUACUUCUCUGGACAACUUCCUGGGAGAGUUUAUCCUCCCCGGACAUCACGGAGCUCUAUUCUUCCAGGUCACAGCAGAGUGUAGGAUUCAUCACCUAGCUUCACCAGACUCAAGAAACCAAACCGCCCACUGCUUUAAUCAUCUCCUUCUCUGGUUCAGGAGCCCUUGGCAGCGGCCUGCCUAGAGGAGAGGCCAGCCUCUAUCGCUGGCACCCAAUAUAGUUCCAACCUCCCUUUGCAGCAUUUUCUCUCAGCGUUCGUAUAUACUGAGCCUCUGGUCUGACCACAGUGUCUUCUUUUCCUUCCCUGGGUCCCCCUUCGAUACUCUGGCUUCUGCAUGCUUCCUUUUCCAUCCCAGUGCACGGCCUGAUUCUUCUCACCAGCUGAUAUUCCCUCCGGCUUUCAUGGCCCAGCUGUGGCCCCAUCUCCUUUGCAAAGCAACUUCUCUGACCACAAUUCUAUAUCCUGUUUCCCAACAAGGCUGCGCAGUUCCUGAAGACGGAGCCGGUGUCCACCUCUGUUUUCCUCUUUGGAAGCCACAUGCCCCACAGUGGUCAGUGAGCAGGUGCUGGUGCCUUGGUUCUCACCGGAGGAGAAAAGGCAGGAAAUCCAUUUCCUGGUGAAACUGGGUCACGUGUUUUCAGACCCAGGUUGCCUGCUGUUGGAAGUGAGUCAGUGAGGGCCUCGUCAAACCUGUUUCCCCAGCGGAGACUCCGGGGCCCAGGCCUGUCCCCAGUGCCCGGGGUGACCACAGAUCUCACUGGGGGCUGAGCCUCAAACGUUGGGGGAAGGGAGGCAGCUUCCUGACAAGGGCAGACGUGUAUGGGGAUGCUGGGGGUAGGAUGUCAGCCUCCAGAAGGGGAUGCUUACCGUUUUCUGGCUGAUCAGACUCUCCAGAGGUCGGGCACCACAUGAUUAAAUUAAAUGUAGGAGGUGGAAGGACUACCAGGAAGAGGAAGGAAAUGCCAAAUGGGAAGUGGCUGUAGGAACUACAGGUGAGUAAGUUGAAAAGAAAGCUUGAGAGAAUGUGACCCACAUCUUGAAAAUGGUCAAAGGGCUGCCGUCAACUAGCAGAAGUAGACUCAUUCUGUGCGCUUCCUCAAGGCUGAAGGUGGACCAAGGCAGGGCAGUUACAGGAGGCCGGAGUUCUGCCCACGCAGGCUGUCAGACAAGGAAAGGUCACCAGCAGAGGGAAUAAUAAGCUGGCUCUUCCUCGUUAGGAAUAUCUACAUGAAGUUUCCAACCUCAGCUGAUCCGUCAACUCAGCCCCUCACUUCUGUCUUUCUGCACAGCUCUGUCCCCCCAUUUCUCAAAGCCAUCUUUAAAACCUCAUCUGCGCUCCCUAAUCCUCAGGUCCUACUCUGAUGUAAAUACAUCAACCAUCCUGGUCCCAUCAGCUCGCGAUGGUCUCCUAACCGAUGCCCCAGCCAGCUGCCUAGAUUCCCACCCAUCUGCCUCCAUGUUGCCGGAGUGAGAUUUCUAAAAUACCAAUGUGGAUCUCUUCAGUCCUGCUCAGACCCCUCCAGUGGCUUCCUGGUGUCCUCAUGAAAUGGCUGAAUUCCUUACUGUGACAUUCAAGGCCCUUCAUGGUCUGACCUGGGCAGCCUCAGCCUUGCCCUUUCUCCUUGCACCUUACACACUAGCAAUACUGGAUGCUUUAGAUCUGUGCCCCACCACCCUCACUCCCAUCUCUGGGCCUUUGCAUGUGCUGUUGCCCCUCACCUGGAAGACUCUUCUUUCUUACUACCACCCCCACCCCACCCAUUCCACUCCACCUGGCUCUCUGCUAUUCAUCUGUUAGGUCUCUGGUGCAGUGUCGCGUCUUCCAGGAAACACUGAUGGGUUCCCCAAGUCUGGGUUAGUUUUCCAUGCCAUAGAUUCCCUCUGAAUCCUAUCACUAGCUUUUGGCAUUAGGUGUUGUGUGUGUGUAUCUCGACUAGUUCCUAACACAUGGGAGCUGCUCAAUGUGUAUUUGUUGAAUGAAAGAUUGUCCUUCUUUACAAGAGGCUACAGAAGGGAUUCCCGCUAUGGACCUUUUCCACCUCUGGGACCAUAUUUCCAUAGGACACACGCUUUCCUACCCUCAAGAAGGAUAUGUUACCAUGUGCAACAGGAGCUUCCAAUGUUUACUUCCUGCUUCAAACAGAAAUUCGCUCCAGGCAGCAAUGCAGGGGCGGCAGGAGUCUCCUCAGGGACCGGUACGAAUGGAAUCUGGUUGCACAAUAUGAUUAUAGAAGGAAGACUCACUGGUGGAGUGUUUGGUUUCCACAGCAUCGAGCUCACUCUAGAUACACAGUGGCGAGGGGUGGGGUUGAUUUCCUGCAAGGGACUGUUCAGACGUCCUGCCUCCCUGGGUGUCACCUUACUUCUGUGACUCCUGAAGAACCCGGUGCUGUUGUCUCACUUGGUAGAAAGAACAGGACAUCAAUAGGCAAAAAAAUGAAGCUUGUUCUACAUCUCACAACUUAUACGAGAAUAAACUCCAAAUGGAUCAUAGAUCUAAACGUAAAAUGUAUAACCCUAAGUCUUUUAGAAGGGAAAUAGGAGAAAAUCAUCACAAUCUAAAGUUAGGAGAAGAUUCUUAGACAUCACACCAAAAGCGCAAUCCAUAAAAGAAGAGAAGAAACUGCUUGGACUUCAUUAAAAUUAAAAACUUUUGCUCUGUGAAAGACUCAGUUAAGAGAGAAAAUGCUAAGUACCAUCUGGGAGAAAAUACUUGCAAAUUAUGUCUGACAAAACACUUGUUGUCAGAAUAAAGAGCUCUCUAAACUCAACAGUAAGAAAACAAACAAUCCAAUUAGAAAAUGAGGGGGCCGGCUCCGUGGCCGAGUGGUUAAGUGCGCGCGCUCCGCUGCGGCGGCCCAGGGUUCGGAUCCUGGGCGCGGACAUGGCACUGCUCGUCAGGCCACGUUGAGGCGGCGUCCCACAUCCCACAACUAGAAGGACCUGCAACUCAGAUAUACAACUGUGUAUGGGGUGGCGGGGGUGGUGGUUGGGAAGAUAAAGCAGAAAAAAAAAAAAAAAAAGAUUGGCAACAGUUGUUAGCCCAGGUGCCAAUCUUUAGGGAAAAAAAAGAAAAAAAAAGAAAAUGAGGAAAAGACUUGAACACUUCACGAAAGAAGAUAUACAGAAGGCAAAUAAAUAUGUGAAAAGAUCUCCAACAUCACUAGUUUUUAGGGAAAUGCAAAGUAAAACCACAGUGAGAUACCAUUAUGCACCUAAUAGAACGGCUAAAAUAAAAAUACUGAUAAAGCCAGUGCUGGCAAGGAUGUGGAGAAACUGGACCUUGCACAUGGUCUUGGUGGGCACAUAAAAUGGUACAGCCACUCUGGAAAUCUGUCUGGCAACUUCUCAAAAAGUUAAACACAUACUUGCUGUAUGAUCCAUGAAUCUCAAUCCUGGGCAUUUAAGUCAGAGAAAUGAAAACUUACAUUUACACGAAACGUUCACAGCACAGUUCACACAAAAUGUCCUGUACACAAAUGUCCACAGCAGCUCUAUUUGCAGUAGCCUGAAACUGGAAACAACCCAAGUGUCCUUCAGUAGGUGGAGGUCAGACAAACCAUGGUACUUCCAUACCGUGGAACACUACCCAGAAAUAAACAGGAAUGAAUUAUCGAUACGUGCGACAAUUUGGACGUAUCUUAAGGGUGUUAUGCUAAGUGAAAAAAUUUGUGAUACAUUACUUGUGAUAAUUUUAUUUGUGAUACAUUCUCAAAUUGACAAAAAUAUAGAGGUGAAGAAGAGAUAAGUGGUGCCAAUGGCUUGGG
ensembl:lncRNA